rnacentral:rRNA from 1 species
UACGGAAGGGGCAAGCGUUGGUCGGAAUUACUGGGCGUAAAGGGCGCGUAGGCGGCCUGUUAAGUCGAACGUGAAAUCCCCGGGCUCAACCCGGGAACUGCGUCCGAUACUGGCAGGCUUGAAUUCGGGAGAGGGAUGCGGAAUUCCAGGUGUAGCGGUGAAAUGCGUAGAUAUCUGGAGGAACACCGGUGGCGAAGGCGGCAUCCUGGACCGAGAUUGACGCUGAGGCGCGAAAGCCAGGGGAGCAAACGGG